ACGAACGCUGGCGGCGUGCUUAACACAUGCAAGUCGAACGAUGAUCCAGGAGCUUGCUCUUGGGGAUUAGUGGCGAACGGGUGAGUAACACGUGAGUAACCUGCCCUUGACUCUGGGAUAACCUCCGGAAACGGAAGCUAAUACCGGAUAUGACGUACGGAGGCAUCUCCUGUACGUGGAAAGAACUUCGGUCAAGGAUGGACUCGCGGCCUAUCAGGUAGUUGGUGAGGUAACGGCCCACCAAGCCUACGACGGGUAGCCG
rnacentral:rRNA from 1 species